rnacentral:rRNA from 1 species
UACAGAGGGUGCGAGCGUUAAUCGGAAUUACUGGGCGUAAAGCGUGCGUAGACGGUUAUUUAAGUCAGAUGUGAAAGCCCCGGGCUCAACCUGGGAACUGCAUUUGAAACUGGCGGGCUUGAGUGUGGCAGAGGGGGGUGGAAUUCCGCGUGUAGCAGUGAAAUGCGUAGAGAUGCGGAGGAACACCGAUGGCGAAGGCAGCCCCCUGGGCCAACACUGACGCUCAGGCACGAAAGCGUGGGGAGCAAACAGG